AAUUGCAGACAUCAUGUGUGACUGAGUAUUGGUGUUUAUCGCCGCGCCAGCAGAUAAUUCCUGCUGGCUUUUU
rnacentral:misc_RNA from 1 species